rnacentral:lncRNA from 1 species
AAAAUUGAAAAAAAAAAUGUUUACAUUCUUGGUGACUUGAGUAGAAAUAAGCAUUUUGAUAUCAUAAGUUCAUUCAAUGAGUUCAUUCUUCUCAUUUUGAUCUCUUUUUCUUUCGUAAACCUUUCUUUUUCAUUUAACCCAUUUAACCCCAUUACAACCCUUUUAAGACCCUUAGAUUUUUGCAUUUUAUUCAUGUUUUGUGGAUUGAGAUGUGAUAUAUGAGCAAGCUUAUGGUAAUAGCAUUCUUUGAUUUGAUUUGAGUGGAUAAAUGACACCCUAAACACUUUGAGUGCAUGGAAUGAAGUUAUUGAGAGGGCUAUUAAAUCUUGUUG